GGGGAUGAAAUGGUUUCGACAGGUUAGGAGGAAUCGGAAUUGCAGCCGAGUUGUGACGUAAUCACUUCUGCUAUAAUAAAUGGCAACAAAACAAUUUUUAACAAUGCGCCUGCUUUCGCAGCCGCUGCUUGCUAAUUAGCGUUUCGCAGCAUAAGUUUGGCCUAAGGCCACGCAUUCAUCUUCUUUAAAUCGCUUUUCUCUCGGAUUGAAGAAGGUGUGGACAAGAGGGAAUAGAAUCUUAUAUUGAUAACGGAUAAGAAUCGAAUUAUUAGUUAUCUCACUAAUAACUUAUUUCGUUCACUUAUAGGUUAUUAGGAAAACAAAGUGAAAUAAGCUGUAGUAGUUCUGGUGGUGCCUUAUUUGGACAGGAGUUCAACUCUCCUCAUCUCCACCA
rnacentral:tmRNA from 1 species